GCCCCGGCUCUAUUCAGAGCCACAAAUAGAACAAGUCACGUUAUU
rfam:Paxillus rubicundulus Ve08.2h10 scaffold_162_c1, whole genome shotgun sequence.